GCGCUAGUAGUGUAGGGUUAUCAUACAAGAUUCCCAUUCUUGCGACCUGAGUUCGAGUCCCGGCUAGCGCA
rfam:Xenopus tropicalis strain Nigerian Chr07_contig_3714, whole genome shotgun sequence.